rnacentral:rRNA from 1 species
CCUACGGGGGGCAGCAGUGAGGAAUAUUGGACAAUGGUCGGGAGACUGAUCUAGCCAUGCCGCGUGCAGGAUGACGGCCCUAUGGGUUGUAAACUGCUUUUACAUGGGAAGACACCCAUCCACGUGUGGAUGGCCGACGGUACCAUGAGAAUAAGGACCGGCUAACUCCGUGCCAGCAGCCGCGGUAAUACGGAGGGUCCGAGCGUUAUCCGGAAUCAUUGGGUUUAAAGGGUCCGUAGGCGGGCCUAUAAGUCAGAGGUGAAAGGCCACGGCUCAACCGUGGGACCGCCUUUGAUACUGUAGGUCUUGAGUUAUGGUGGGGUCGCCGGAACAUGUGGUGUAGCGGUGAAAUGCAUAGAUAUCACAUAGAACACCGAUCGCGAAGGCAGGUGACCAACCAUAUACUGACGCUGAUGGACGAAAGCGUGGGUAGCGAACGGGAUUAGAUACCCCGGUAGUCCACGCCGUAAACGAUGGACACUAGCUGUCGGGUCUUCGGACUCGGCGGCCAAGCGAAAGUGAUAAGUGUCCCACCUGGGGAGUACGUUCGCAAGAAUGAAACUCAAAGGAAUUGACGGGGGCCCGCACAAGCGGUGGAGCAUGUGGUUUAAUUCGAUGAUACGUGAGGAACCUUACCAGGGCUUAAAUGCAGUAUGACAGGACCAGAGAUGGUUUUUUCUUCGGACAUAUUGCAAGGUCCUGCAUGGUUGUCGUCAGCUCGUGCCGUGAGGUGUCAGGUUAAGUCCUAUAACGAGCGCAACCCCUACCGUUAGUUGCCAGCAUGUAAAGAUGGGGACUCUAACGGGACUGCCGGUGCAAACCGUGAGGAAGGUGGGGACGACGUCAAAUCAUCACGGCCCUUACGUCCUGGGCCACACACGUGCUACAAUGGCCGGUACAGAGGGAAGCCACCCCGCGAGGGGGCGCGGAUCUAUAAAGCCGGUCACAGUUCGGAUCGGGGUCUGCAACUCGACCCCGUGAAGCUGGAAUCGCUAGUAAUCGGAUAUCAGCCAUAAUCCGGUGAAUACGUUCCCGGGCCUUGUACACACCGCCCGC